rnacentral:rRNA from 1 species
UACAGAGGUCCCAAGCGUUGUUCGGAUUCACUGGGCGUAAAGGGUGCGCAGGUGGGUUUGCAAGUUCGAUGUGAAAGCCCCGGGCUUAACCCGGGAAUGGCAUUGGAUACUGCAGAUCUGGAGGAUCGGAGGGGGGACUGGAAUUCUUGGUGUAGCAGUGGAAAUGCGUAGAUAUCAAGAGGAACACCAGUGGCGAAGGCGGCUCACUGGCCCGGUACUGACGCUGAGGUGCGAAGCGUGGGGAGCAAACAGG